UGCCGGAUUGUGUAGCGGUAGCACAGGGGACUUUGGAUCCUCUAGCCCAGGUUCGAAUCCUGGUCCGGCAGCCA
rnacentral:tRNA from 2 species